ensembl:lncRNA
GGGAUGAGGGGGGAGUGGGGGAGGGAUUGGGGAAGAUAAAUAGACAUAUAACAAUCACUUCUUGAAGAAGUAUAAUUGUAAAUAAGCCAUGUAAAAUGCCUUUUUUAAAUUUAAUUUUCUAGCUGGCUCCAAUUCAAACCGAGGGUUUAUAAAUUAGAUCCCGUAUUUGUUUGGCAGAUGCAGGAACUCAGCUCAAGUGGAAUAACAUCGUCUCCCAAAUUGCUGUCACUCUGGAAGGGAGUGGUUAUAGGGCAUGUCACAAGAGAGCAAAACAGUCCAAUCUUUAUCACCGGUAGCUAACUUCUUGUGCCCCCACCCCUGUCCCCUUUUCCAAAAGUCUUGCUCCCGACUUUGGCUCUGGAGUCUCUGCCCUGCUGGGCACGUCCACUCUCAUCCCAGUCUUGUGCUGAACACGAAGCUGCUGUGUUAGAACACUGCUCUCCCACUUGAAGCAAACCCGUCAGGUGGGCCCACUGUGCACACACCCCUGGAUCUCUGGACUUCCUGUCUUGUCCUUCCAUCAUGGUAAAGAGAGAGCGUGGGUGUUGGUUUUCCCUACUUCCGUCUCUCUCUCUUUCUCUCUCUCUCUCCUUCUUUCGCUUGCUCUUAUGGAACUUGGCCACAGUUUCUGAAGUCUGUGCCUAAAUUACCAACCAGCUUCAGCGAUUCCUUUGAAUAUUUCCCAUUUUGGUUUCUGGAAAGCUUUGUCAUUAACACUAUUAACUAGGACAUAGAAUAAUGAGCAACUGAAUUAUGAAGAAUUCAGCCAGGGAGCAGGUGACACUCGUGUGCUAUGGGUCAGCUGGGAUCCAGGUUAGACCAAAUCCAAGCUUUGGGAUUAGACUAACAAAGCUGCCGGACGGCCGCAGGAGCCCAAGUGCUCCAUUCACACCCCCAUGUGCUUUCUGAAGUCAGAUUCUCAAUCACAUUUGAAGUUGUGCCUUUGUGUUUUUGCCUGAGCCGAGUCCCUCACCUCAUAGUCCCCUUUGGCUUCUGCAGAAUUCUGAAAAAUGCCAGGUUUUUCCCCUCCUUUUCCAUAAAACAUAUUUAUAUAUCAUUAUUAGGAGUACUUUCUGAAGAGUACUUCAUGUUUUUUUUUUAAUUGCCUUGUUUGCCUUCAACUUCCUUAAUUUUCAUGGUUUACAUGGAUGUGUGUAGAGGCUAUAUUUGUUUAUAUACACAUGGGUUGGGGGUUUCUUCCAUUGCAUGUGUUGGUUCCAUGGACGUAUGAUCCCCACAGGCUGUGGGAGUGAUUGGCCAGGCCUUGUUUUUUUGUUGUGUUUUUGUUCCUUCGAAGAGGAGAAUGCUAUUUAGAAAAUAAACUGCAUUGCAAAGCUCUUACCAGCUCAUAUGAGAGAGCAGACUCCUGCCCUUGAACACGCUGGUAAGUUGUAUCAUAAUGUUUUAAAAGUUUUUUUUUUUGUUUUUUUUUUUUUGAGUAUUUCUUGCUUUAAAAGACCUUCACGAGGAACAUGACACACAGAAGUUCUUUGGGCUUUCCUUUGAUGUAUGGUGCAUAUAGCAAUAAAGAUUUUUUUCCCCCCUUCCUUUGAGCACUCCCAGGCCUCUGGGCUAGCCUGGCCUCUUCUCUCUCUGAGGGCUGUGAGCUGCUUUCAGUGUGACAAAAUUAUGAUGUCAUUUGGAAGAAUUUGCCAGGACAGACUGAUUCUUGGUCAAGAAUGGCUCGUGUACACUCGGCAGCGUUGUAAAAUGAUAUUGUUUGAAGGCUUUCAUUAACACAUUUACCAUCAAGAACAAAGUGUUGGCAAAAGGCUGACACCUGAUUUGAAAAAGAAAAUGCUGAUUUGAGGACAAAAGGAAAAGUCUCUUUCCACUGCUCAAAGUAGGGUCAUUUAAAUCAUCUUGCAGUCACGUGUGAGUUUGUUUUAUUCAUGUGGAAUCUCUUGCUGUGCACUGGAAGUCAUUUAUCCACCAAGCUGAGUACCGUGUGGGGAAAGGUAGAAGCUGAAAACACAGCCAGGCCUGUGUGCUGUUAACUGUGCAAUUCUCACGUUAAGAAAAAAAGAACAAUAAGAACCAAAUGUGACCUUGCAUAUAUUUUGACAGCUGAAAUUCUUUAAGGCUACCAACGAAUGACCCCUUAAAUCAGUCUUGUCUUUUGAUUGCUGCGUAUAGGAAGAAGUUUUCCUUUCACGCUGUUUUGUUUUGGGGGGGUUAUCAGCAAAACUAUUCAUUCUGACAUUACAGGGCCUCUUGUGAGAGCCUCUCUACCACAGACAUUAAGAGCUAAGCAGCAGCAUACGUACUGAUUGUAUCCACUCACCAAUGACCAUUACAUUGAACGUAGCUCGCUUACUUCCAUCACUACGAGUUUUUUGAGCUUGCUCUUAUGUUUUAAGAGGUGCCAGGGGUACAUUUUUGCACUGAAAUCUAAAGAUGUUUUAAAAAACACUUUUCACAGAAAAUAGUCCUUUGUCAUUACAUUAUUUACUCAUGUGUUUGUACAUUUUUGUAUGUUAAUUUAUGAAUGAUUUUUUCAGUAAAAAAUACAUAUUCAAGAACC